UGGAGGUCACAGCCAUCAUGACAGGGAGCGUGGCAACAGGCAGACGUGACUGAAGCAGUUGCCACCAGCUUACAUCCUUAUCUACAAAUAGGAGGCAGAGCGCUACCAGGAAAUGAUGUGGGGCACACCCACUCCCAAGGGCUCACCUUCUCCAACGAGGCCACACCUCCUAAUUCUACCUAUCUGGUCCAACAAAUGGGGAGCCAAGUAGCCAAGUACUCAAACUCGUGGGCCAUUCUCAUUCAAACCACCACAUUCGUGGUAUCAACAUUUCAGGAAGAUGCUAACUGAUCGCAUCCCCUGAGUCAAGACACAUCCAAUUUCCCCAAGGCUACAGCAGGCAAGUCGUCUCAGCAUCACUCUCUAGGGAUCCAUCCCCACAGGAUGUUUUGUGAAGUUUCUGGAACAGGCUCAUUUCUCCCAUCCUGUCCUGAAGAGCCCUGCUCCAGAGGCUGUAUUCCAGCUGUGUGAAUCCCUCUGGACUCCAUAGACCAGCAACAACACCAACGCCCCUGUACCCUUCUAAAAGCCUAAAGUUUUGGCUGGAAAGCUAUAGAAGAUAUUGGGAAGAAUGUCAGUUUUUCAUAUGGAUGAAAAGCACCAGCAGGGGAAUUACCAUAUCUCUCAGAAGUCUGACAAUCAUCUGCGUUCAUGGUCUUCAAUGUGGAAUUGUGACACGGAAUAGCUACCCCGAAUCGCCAGCCUGCCUCUUACCCUGUGGGUUUCAGUUUCAAGACUGCGACCUCAGCUCUUGUCUGAGUUCCCAGCCGCCUGCCUGGCAGAUGUCAGACUUGUCACUCCAUAAUCAUGUGUACCAGUUUCUUUCUUUUUUUUUUUUUUUUUGGUUCUUUUUUUUGGAGCUGGGGACCGAACCCAGGGCCUUGCGCUUCCUAGGCAAGCGCUCUACCACUGAGCUAAAUCCCCAGCCCCGUGUACCAGUUUCUUAAAGCAAGCCCAGUAAUCAGGGUCUGUUCUGGAGGAUGCUGACUGCACUUAUCCUGAGGCGUGUCUUCAAGCUGGGUCGCCCUUUCAUUUUCACAGACAUUCGUCUAUGGCUGGUUGGUUUUUUUUUUCCCCUAGGGAAGGCAGGUGAUGCGAUCGACUCAGAGUCCAGGAGAACUUAAAGUGUUCUUUCACACCAUAAAUGCACGUGAUCUUCAGAUCAUAUUUUUAAAUGUAAUAAAAACUGCAGAAAUGUCGAAAAAGUAAAGUAGAAUCUAUAAACACUGGUGCCUCGUGCCAGAUACUCUUGGGAUGGCUGUUCAGAUUAAUUUUAAACUUCCCCACAGUGAGGUAUGUGUUGAAUACUAAAUUUUGUUUUAAAGUAAAAACAAAACCAGUGCAAAACAUGGAGAUUGCAGUGGUAUGAGUGGACCAUGCCACCAGACAGGAGACCUGGCAAGGUUGAAGCAAGUUAAAAGAAACAAACAAACCAGGAAUUCUCAUCAUUGAGACCGGUAGGUGUUAGAACCAGUUCCUAGCCAGAGUCUACCUGUCCCAGAACAUGUGACCAAGAUGCCCCACUAGGAGGGCCAUGACACUCAGUCAUGUAGGGACAACACCUGAAGUCCUCUCCUAUGCAAAUAAAGCAUCCCAGAGUGAGCCAAUGGGAAGAAUCUACCUCUGGAUCUCACCCCACCCCAAAAUGUUUAAAAGGUCCCUGUCAACCCAAGAAAUAAAGUUAUUUCACCGAGAAUCGUCUGAGGGUGCCUGGCUUAUUGAGCUGUAAUACUCCAGGGAAGAAUUUUCUCUCCCAAAGCAUUCACUGAUGGACCUCAGCUCUUCUAGUGGCUCCAGCUACAACUCCUAGUGAUCCGCUGUGUCUCAUCACUGCCCGGGCUGUGACGGUAGCGGAAGAGACCUGGCCGCCCGCCUGUCCUUGGAGGGCAGCAACACUUUGGCCAUUCCACUCAGGUCACAGCUCCUCGGAAUCUACCAUUCUGGCUGGACUAGGGAUCCUCAGACUGUUCUCUGCCUUCCCUGAACAGCCUGCUGGCUGCACUCCGGUGCACAAACUGACAACUGGUGCCAAGACGUGGGGUGCAAUCAUCUGAUGCACCAUGACUGAUACCCACGUGAAUUCAAUGAGACCUCUGAUUUGAUGGGAAGGGAAAGCACCCCAACUCUGGAGAGAGUCAAGCCACCGGUCCCUUUUCUGCUUUGUAUAUCAUUGACCGUCAAAACAUGGAUUUGGAAAAGCUAAAGAGACAACUGAUGCCUUCUGACUCUGUUGUAGGCUGAAGGUCCCUGUCUAAAAUCUGACAGUCCGUAAUGGGUGUUGACAAAGACACUUUAUCUAACUUCCCUUUAAAACAAGACAAAACAACAACAACAACAACAACGACGACGACGACAACAAUAACAAAACUAGAAACGCAGCAGCCACUUAAGUGCCACUAGGACAUCAGGCCGUUCUCAAAUCUGUGUGAAGAUUUAGCAUUUCGGACCUCUCUGGAAGCCCCCAAAGCCAGCAGGCCAAGGGGAUAUUCCCACUGGACGAGGCACUCUUCUCUUUUCUGUCACAGGCAACUUGUCAUCACAUUAAAAAAAGAAAUCUUAGACUGGAGAGAUGGCUCAGUGGCUAAGAGCACUGACUGCUCUUCCAGAGGUCCUGAGUUCAACUCCCAGCAACCACAUGGUGGCUCACAACCAUCUGUGAUGAGAUCUGAUGCCCUCUUCUGGUGUGUCUGAAGACAGCUACGGUGUACUCACAUGAAUAAAAUAAAUCUUAAAAAAAAACUUAAAAAAAAAGAAAUCUCACAGGUUAGGGAAAUAUGAGCCCUACUAAAAUCCCAUGGAAUAGAAUUCGACAAAAGUAAGCCUCCUUGUUUUGGGAGGAGGUCUUUCAGGUAGUGCCAUCCAUGGCCAAUGGUACUAUUUACAGUCCUGACUCAUGGACGCGAGUAGAUUCCCUCACCAGAAGCAGAGACACCCAGGAAGAAAAGAAUCCCUCCCCUGAUUCUUUUGCUGAUGUUCGCUGCAAUUCAGCGGUGCAUAGGACCAUAAUACCACAGCACCUUUGCCCCCAGUCAGAUGAACCCCAAAAUCAAAGUCCUAAAGAUCUCACAGCCAUUACCCAAUUAAUAUGGGAAAUAAAAUCCAUCGACCCAUCCUACUCCCUCAUAUCCCCUCAGAGGAAGCACUAAAUAAGCCCUUGGCCCCAUCUGAAUCGCCUUCCCUCACCCAAAUACUGAACCCUCUACAGGGCUCCUUUAGAAAAACAGACAAGCUUCCACUGGCCCCACCUCCUACUGCCCCCCCCCCAUUGCCGCCAAAUCAGAGAGAGAUAUCUAUCUCCUCCCCAACCCCCAAGCCAAAAGAGUCAAAAACCUACCAAAAGCAUAGACAGCAACCCAAUGUAACCCCAAAGAUCCCCACGCUCAACCCUCCACCAUGCAAUAGUUUUGAAACGAACUCUACCUCCCACUCAACUCAGGAGUCCAAGAAGAAGCCAGAAUUCCAAAACACCCAAGCAUCCUCCAUUAAUAAUAGUCCCACUCAUAAUAAGCCACUCAACUGGUAAGCCUCAGACUUAAAAGAACUCAGAGGAUUCUUAGUGAAAUCUCGUGUACUUUGUCCCUUGUGGACAGGGACCUUAUGAACAUUUGUGGGUAGACGCUUCCCGUUGGCUCACUCUGAGAUGUUAGGGAUGCUUUAUUUGCAUGGGUGAGGACUUCAGGUCACUGAUUGUCAUGAUCCUCCUGGUGGGGUGUCGUGGUCACAUGUUCUGGGACAGGUAGACUCUGGGUAGAGCUGGUUCUUCCGUCUGGGGGCAUGGUCCACUUGCCCCCACACAUUGCCAUAAUGGGAGUGCACCAGAUGGCUUUCUGUCAACUUGCAACGAACUAGAGGCAUCUGAGAAUGAGGAACCUCAACUGAAAAGAAUGCUUCCAUCAGAGCAGCCUGUAGGCACAUCUGUAGGGCAGUUCUUGAUUAAUGUUUACAUGGGAGGGCCCAGCCCACUGUGGGUGGUGCCACUCCCUAGGCAGGCAGACCGGGGCUGUAUAAGAAAGCAGGCUGAGCAAGCCAGUAAGCAGGGUUCCUCAAUGGUCUGGGCUUCAGUUCCUGCCUCCUGGUUACUGCUUGAGUUCCUGCUCUCACUUUCAUCAAGGUUGGACUAUAAACUUUAAGACAAAAUAAACCCCUUUCCUCCCCAGGUUGCUUUUGAUCAUGGUCUUCCUCACAGCAACAGAUACCUGACUAGCACGGGAAACAAUAACAGGGCUCAGUUACCUGGUGGAAGCAAGCACAGCGGUGUCAAAAACUGGGUCCAGACGAAGGAACACGUCAUUCUAUUGGUAUUGAAGAAUGACACGUGAGGCUGUGACCCAGGACGGUGGGACCGUCGCCUCAUCACCCCUGGCAGGAGAUACCCCCAAAUAAGUUGAAGGUUGAAGUCAGCAGCGACUGAUCCCGAAGAGAAGGCUAAGAAAUGGCUCCUCAGAGAUGUUGACCCCUCUGAGAAUGAAGAGCGAGUCGCCGGUUAUCACAGAUUUAUUCUCUGUGAAGAAGAUGUCUGUAAGUGAAGUUGAAAUGCGUCGACCCUGAAGACAGAAUACCAGAAGCUGAGAACAGGAUUGAGGAAUACAUUUAAACUUUUGAAAGACUUUACCAAACCAAAUGCUACACAAAGAAAGAAAGGCUCCGUGGCGGGAGGAGGGGCUUUUCACCAAGCCAUUAAAAGCCUUAUAAGAUCUUUAGAAACAGGCACCCUGGAAAUUUCAGUUAUUUUCAUCCCUUCCAUUGAAAAGGCAAUUUCUCUCUUCUUAUAUCGAAGGCUUUGAUGUAUGUUCAGUAGCUUCGGGGUGAAUCCAAAUGCAGCGUUCAGAGCAAGUGAGAAAAAAAAAUCAUGCCGCGUGGAGAUUGCGAGCUUCCUCCAGGAAAUCUUUUGAAAAAUAGGCAAUGAAACCGCUCGGGGCUCCUGCCCUCGAUCUCUCAGAGCCUCUUUCCUGGGAUCGCCUGCCUACUGUCGGUCUCUGAAGUGUUGGAUAGCAGAAGAGGAGGAGGACAAGCGGAUUGGAGGUCCCUGUAACUCACUGUGACAGAACACAUAGAUGGGCUCGGGGUCGAGCGGGUGAAUGUGCCUACAAGACCUUCUUGACUGAGCCGAAUGGGUGGAUCAGACACUCCUCUUGGACUGGGGAGUCCUAAGCUGGUCUAGCGACCAAUGUAGCAGCACACAGUAAGCGACAGGAUCCUGAGAUAUGAGCAACAGAGUAUGAGACUUCCUUGCUGUGUUCCUUAUUCUAGUUGGCUUUCUGUACUGGCAUUAAAGACCAUGACCGAGA